AGAGUUUGAUCCUGGCUCAGGAUGAACGCUGGCGGCGUGCUUGAUACAGGCAAGUCGAACGGGUUGGCUAGGGGCCAAAGCCUUGGGCGGGGCGGAAGAUGAGAAAUCGUUGGACGCUUCAGAAGGGGUAGAGGUCUUGGUGCUGGCCAGUGGCGUACGGGUGCGUAACACGUAGGUAAUCCACCCUCAAGUGGGGAAUAACUGUUCGAAAGGGCAGCUAAUUCCGCAUGUGGUCCGUGAGGAAGAAAGGGCGAAAGCUCGCUUGAGGACGAGCCUGCGGCCGAUUAGCUAGUUGGUGAGGUAACGGCCCACCAAGGCGAUGAUCGGUAGCUGGUCUGAGAGGACGAUCAGCCACACUGGAACUGGAACACGGUCCAGACUCCUACGGGAGGCAGCCGCAAGGAAUAUUGCACAAUGGGGGGAACCCUGAUGCAGCAACGCCGCGUGGGCGAUGAAGGCCUUCGGGUUGUAAAGCCCUUUUCUAGAGGAAGAGAGCAAGGACGGUACUUUAGGAAUAAGUCUCGGCUAACUACGUGCCAGCAGCCGCAGUAAAACGUAGGAGACGAGCGUUAUCCGGAUUUACUGGGCGUAAAGGGCAAGUAGGCGGUUUUCAAAGUUGGACGUGACAAUUCUCGGCUUAACUGGGAGGGGUCGUCCAAAACUAGGGAACUAGAGGGCAGGAGAGGGGAGUGGAAUUCCUAGUGUAGCGGUGGAAUGCUUAGAGAUUAGGAAGAACACCAGUGGCGAAGGCGGCUCUCUGGCCUGACCCUGACGCUGAGAGGCGAAAGCUAGGGGAGCGAACGGGCUUAGAUACCCCGGUAGUCCUAGCUGUAAACGUUGGGUACUGGGUAUUGGGGGGCAACAAACCCUCAGUGCCGAAGCGAACGCGUUAAGUACCCCGCCUGGGGACUACGGCCGCAAGGUUAAAACUCAAAGGAAUUGACGG
rnacentral:rRNA from 1 species